CCACCCCUUCCCAGACCUCAUUAAGGGUUGGCAAUGGAGGUGAGGGUCUCUCUGGAGAUCCUGCUUAUUUGGAGACCUUCUAAAGACAGCAGUGAUGUAAGUCAGACAAAUGGAUUCAACCCCUGUGAAGAUGGGUAAAGACCAAGAGUUUGAAUGACUUGUAUAAUGGCACGUGGGGAGCUGGUGGCCUGAAGCCAGACUGCCCUUAGCACAAGUCCACGGUCUUCAGCUACGGGUCAGCUCUCCUGUUACUCUCGCCCUCUGACUGAAGGUUAACUGGAGGUUUGGGCUUCUACAGGAGCCUCUCUGCAAGGAGCUCAAGCCAAACGGUCCCCACCAGCGUGGAAUGUGUAAAUCUCCUUCCUCUGCUAAUUCCGCUUAGAAAUGCAAAUUGCAAGUAGCUGUCAGGAAGGCUGGAAACAAGAGGUAUCGCUGCAUGUGUUCCUAAUGCUUAUCACAGGCGGAACUUGGCUUCUUACAAGGACCAAAUGCAGCCUUUUCACAUCUCCAUUGAGAGAGAGAGAGCUAGCAGCAACCGGAAAUGCUUUCGUUCCUUCAGCACUGGAUGCUCGAUGAGUUAGCAUCCUCCUAACACCUUGUCCUUUUCCAGGAUGCUCAGCCUUCUGCUGUUUUCUUAACAUACUAAAUGAAGGGAUUAAAUUCUUUUGUAUCUCGGUGGUAUAAGUGGAAAUAAAUAGAAAAAUGCUUGGCUUCCACCCAGAGACAAGAUA